GACGAACGCUGGCGGCGUGCCUAAUACAUGCAAGUCGAACGCUUCUUUCCUCCCGAGUGCUUGCACUCAAUUGGAAAGAGGCGUGGCGGACGGGUGAGUAACACGUGGGUAACCUACCCAUCAGAGGGGGAUAACACUUGGAAACAGGUGCUAAUACCGCAUAACAGUUUAUGCCGCAUGGCAUAAGAGUGAAAGGCGCUUUCGGGUGUCGUUGAUGGAUGGACCCGCGGUGCAUUAGCUAGUUGGUGAGGUAACGGCUCACCAAGGCCACGAUGCAUAGCCGACCUGAGAGGGUGAUCGGCCACACUGGGACUGAGACACGGCCCAGACUCCUACGGGAGGCAGCAGUAGGGAAUCUUCGGCAAUGGACGAAAGUCUGACCGAGCAACGCCGCGUGAGUGAAGAAGGUUUUCGGAUCGUAAAACUCUGUUGUUAGAGAAGAACAAGGACGUUAGUAACUGAACGUCCCCUGACGGUAUCUAACCAGAAAGCCACGGCUAACUACGUG
rnacentral:rRNA from 1 species